AAGUCGUAACAAGGUUUCCGUAGGUGAACCUGCGGAAGGAUCAUUAUUGAAAUAAACCUGAUGGGUUGUUGCUGGUUCUCUAGGGAGCAUGUGCACGCCUUGUCAUCUUUAUAUCUCCACCUGUGCACCUUUUGUAGAUCUUUCAGGUCUAUGUUGCUUCAUUUACCCCAAUGUAUGUUAAUAGAAUGUUGUUCCUAUAUAAAUAUAUACAACUUUCAGCAACGGAUCUCUUGGCUCUC
rnacentral:misc_RNA from 1 species